CUGUCACAAAUUUAACUGUUUAGUCCCUCUUACCACUCCAUCCCACGCACUAGACUGGGAGGCGGGCAGAAGGACAAGCAGGGCUGACCAUUAAUUUCCGGGCAAAGCGCGGGCGAGCUAUGACUUUAAUGCUGGGGUAUGCUAUUUUCACUACAUACAGGGUAUCACACAUCCGCUUCAUCUGCUCCAGAACUCACACCUAG